rnacentral:rRNA from 1 species
GAUGAACGCUGGCGGCGUGCCUAAUACAUGCAAGUCGAGCGAACGGACGAGAAGCUUGCUUUUCUGAUGUUAGCGGCGGACGGGUGAGUAACACGUGGAUAACCUACCUAUAAGACUGGGAUAACUUCGGGAAACCGGAGCUAAUACCGGAUAAUAUUUUGAACCGCAUGGUUCAAAAGUGAAAGACGGUCUUGCUGUCACUUAUAGAUGGAUCCGCGCUGCAUUAGCUAGUUGGUAAGGUAACGGCUUACCAAGGCAACGAUGCAUAGCCGACCUGAGAGGGUGGACGGCCAACAAGGAACUGGGACACGGUCCAGACUCCUACGGGAGGCAGCAGUAGGGAAUCUUCCGCAAUGGGCGAAAGCCUGACGGAGCAACGCCGCGUGAGUGAUGAAGGUCUUCGGAUCGUAAAACUCUGUUAUUAGGGAAGAACAUAUGUGUAAGUAACUGUGCACAUCUUGACGGUACCUAAUCAGAAAGCCACGGCUAACUACGUG